UAAGCUCUCUCUCCUUUUGGCUAAGAUCAAGUGUAGUAUCUGUUCUUAUCCAUUUAAUAUCUGAUACAUCCUCUGUCCAGAAACUGUCCUUUUGAGAGCAGAAGAACUUNC
rnacentral:snRNA from 1 species